UACGUAGGUGGCGAGCGUUGUCCGGAAUUACUGGGUGUAAAGCGCGUGUAGGCGGGAGGCCAAGUCUGUGGUGAAAUCGCUCGGCUUAACUGGGCGGGGUCCAUGGAAACUGGUCACCUGGAGGUCGGUAGAGGCAAGUGGAAUUCCCGGUGUAGUGGUGAAAUGCGUAGAGAUCGGGAGGAACACCAGUGGCGAAGGCGGCUAUCUGGACGGUUUCUGACGCUAAGACGCGAAAGCGUGGGGAGCAAACAGG
rnacentral:rRNA from 1 species